rnacentral:rRNA from 1 species
UGCCGCUUGCGAGGGCGUAUGGUGGAUGCCUUGGCAGACAGUACCGAUGAAGGACGUUUGAGGAUGCGAUAAUCCUAGGGGAGCCUCCAACAUGGCUUUGAUCCUAGGGUCUCCGAAUGGGGGAACCCGCCGGCCGUCAUGGGCCGGCACCGCCUAUGGGCGGGGGGUACGCAGGGAAGUGAAACAUCUCAGUACCUGCAGGAAGGGAUACUCCGUGAGUAGUGGCGAGCGAAAGCGGAUCAGACCAAACCGGUUGCGCGUGAUACCCGUCGGGGGUUGCGUUGCCGGUGUCGUGGGAUCACGUGUCCCGGUUCCGACGGGCCGGGCGGGAGUCAUAAAACGGCUUGCCAGGGGAACAGGCUUGAAGGCCUGGCCGUAGAGGGUGCCAGCCCCGUACCUGGACGUGAGCCGUCUUCCGAUCGUGUUGUCCCAAGUAGCGCGGGCCUCGUGGAAUCCCGCGUGAAUCAGCCCAGACCGUUGGGUAAGUCUAAGCAUACCUGUCUGACCGAUAGCGUACCAGUACCGUGAGGGAAAGGUGAAAAGCACCCCGGGAGGGGAGUGAAACAGUUCCUGAAACCGUGCGCCCACAAACCGUCGGAGCCUCUGUGUGGGGUGACGGCGUGCCUAUCGAAAAAUGAGUCUGCGAGUCAGUGGCGGGUGGCGAGCAUAAGCCGUGUGGCGUAUGCGUAGCGAAAGCGAGUCUUAAAAGGCGUUUUUAGUCGCUUGUCCUGGACCCGAAGCGGGAUGAUCUAGCCCUGGGCAGGUUGAAGCGCGGGUAAGACCGCGUGGAGGACCGAACCCACCUGGGUUGAAAACCGGGGGGAUGACCUGGGGCUAGGGGUGAAAGGCCAAUCAAAUUCCGUGAUAGCUGGUUCUCUCCGAAAUGCAUUUAGGUGCAGCGUCGGUCGAUUGCGUCGCGGGGGUAGAGCUACCGGAUGCUUGCGGGCCCUUGUUGGGUACCAACAGCAGCCGAACUCCGAAUACCGUUGACGUGUAUUCCGGCAGUGAGUCGGCGGGGGAUAAGCUCCGUCGUCGAGAGGGAGACAGCCCAGACCGUCGUCUAAGGUCCCGAAGCGUGUGCUAAGUGGGAAAGGAUGUGGAGUCGCAUAGACAGCCAGGAGGUUGGCUCAGAAGCAGCCAUCCUUGAAAGAGUGCGUAACAGCUCACUGGUCUAGUGGUUCCGCGCCGACAAUGUAGCGGGGCUCAAGCACACCACCGAAGACGCGGCAGCAAUCUUCAUGGUUGCUGGGUAGGAGAGCGUCCUGCAUGGGGCGAAGCGGCCGGGUAACCGUGCCGUGGACCGUGUGGGAGUGAGAAUGCAGACAUGAGUAGCGAGAGACGGGUGAGGAUCCCGUCCGCUGGAUGACCAAGGGUUCCGGGGCCACGUUCGUCGUCCCCGGGUGAGUCGGGUCCUAAGGCGAGGCCGACAGGCGUAGUCGAAUGGAUGAACGGGUGGAUAUUCCCGUACCGACCAUGGACCGGCAAAACCGAGACGGUGAGUACUAACCUCCGCCUCGUGGUGGUUCCUUCCUUCGGGUUGGUUCCGCCGCGUGGUGUUGGGAGCGUAGCCGCAGUAGGUCAGCGCAGGGGUGACACGGAAUGGGAGCCGGCCGCGGAGGUGGUUUUCCGUGGUCAAGCACGCAGCCAGUCAUGUAGGCAAAUCCGCAUGGCGCGCAUGGCGAGGUGUGAUGAUGGGAGCCGUUAUGGCUCGAUAUCCGGUUGUCCAGGCCGUCGAGAAAAGCCUCGGCGUGAGGGCCAUGGCCGCCCGUACCCCAAACCGACACUGGUGGUCAGGUAGAGAAUACCAAGGCGAUCGAGCGAAUCCUGGUCAAGGAACUCGGCAAAUCACUCCCGUGCCUUCGGUAUAAGGGAGACCCACUGGGGUGAAGGACCUUGCGUCCGGAGCUUUGGUGGGUGGCACAGACCAGGGGGUAGCGACUGUUUACCAAAAACACAGGUGCAUGCGAAGGCGAAAGCCGCUGUAUAUGCACUGACGCCUGCCCGGUGCCGGAAGGUUAAGAGGAUCCGUCAGUCCUUCGGGAUGAAGCGGUGAAUUCAAGCCCCGGUAAACGGCGGUGGUAACUAUAACCAUCCUAAGGUAGCGAAAUUCCUUGUCGGGUAAGUUCCGACCUGCACGAAUGGCGUAACGA